GUAGAAUCAGCGUUAAAGUUGACGACUAUAGAGAUUAGGAAAUCCAUCGAUAUGAUAGAUUUCCUAAUUUAUACAGUCAUCAACUUUAACACGUUAUAAUACGUCUCGGUUCACAAGGCCAUCCUAAUGUUUUUUCUCAGAUUCUUUUGUGCAAAAUCGCGUCAAAUAAGCCUAAUUUCAUCAAAAUUGGAAGGGACGACCAUAUUCUAAAUAAUUACCGUAGUUUCAUAAAACAACGUUUUCCAAUUAUGAUUUAUUUAUAAUAAAAAUCAAAUUAGCAGAAAUUAAACGGGACUCAAUAAUAAUAUAGUUACAUUCAGCAACGGUUUAGUGAAAAGCUGCUGAAUGCGCUGUUGUCAGUGCUCCAUACGCAACGUGAGUUACUGAGCGGACGCCAUUUUUUCCAUCAUAUUUUAAAAUAGCUACCUGAAUUCAACAUGUUGUCAGUGUAUAAGCAACAUAAUCUAAGUAGACACGUUUUUUCUAUCCAGAAGACCAAAAAGAAUGUGUUUUUAAAACAUGGACGAAUUGGAAUAUAUCAUAUAUAAGUGCAACAAGAGAUAUGCACAACAAUUUACAGAAUAGACAGUUACAUACGUUUCAGAAGGAAAAGUUUCAGUAUUCACGCGGACAAAGCAAGCAACGAAAUUGUUCUUGCAAGCAUAUUUUGAGAGAAAAGAGCAGUUCCGCGAUCCCAAAAUAUAAAAGAAAAGUUUAUGGACACAACAUGUUACACAAAAAUUACAUGUAAUAUUUGUAAAUGGAAUGAAAAUGUAUUAGACAGAAAGGUGCGCAAUUUGAAAAAGACAUAUCGUACAAAAAAGGAUAAUAAUAAAAAAAGUAGUACUGGAAGAAGCCGCAUACAUUAGGAAUAUUAUGAUACUUUUGAAGAGAUAUUUAGAAAUGACAACUGUAAA